ACGACCUUACUUGAACAGGAUCUGUUCUAUAGAAUCGUACCUCUGUAUCCUUGAUUUCUAAGGAGACAGGAAUCCCAACCUGGUGGAUGAAUAAUGACCGUGCGAUCAGAGCGUGAUUAACAGUUUCUGGAUCCUAGGUUCCAUCAAGCAGUGGAUGAUCGUUUUCAGCCAGUUUCUCUGUCUGGGGUGGUCGCACGGUAGUCUGACAGGUU